rnacentral:rRNA from 2 species
UACGAAGGAUGCAAGCGUUAUCCGGAUUUAUUGGGUUUAAAGGGAGCGUAGGCGGUCUUAUAAGUCAGUGGUGAAAUCUCGUUGCUUAACAACGAACGUGCCAUUGAUACUGUAGGACUUGAGUACAGAUGCCGUUGGCGGAAUGUGUCAUGUAGCGGUGAAAUGCAUAGAUAUGACACAGAACACCGAUUGCGAAGGCAGCUGACGAAACUGUAACUGACGCUGAGGCUCGAAAGCGUGGGGAUCAAACAGG